GAUGAACGCUGGCGGCGUGCCUAAUACAUGCAAGUCGAGCGAACAGACCAGGAGCUUGCUCCUCUGACGUUAGCGGCGGACGGGUGAGUAACACGUGGAUAACCUACCUAUAAGACUGGGAUAACUUCGCGAAACCGGAGCUAAUACCGGAUAAUAUAUUGAACCGCAUGGUUCAAUAGUUAGAGACGGUUUUUCUGUCACUAAUAGAUGGAUCCGCGCCGCAUUAGCUAGUUGGUAAGGUAACGGCUUACCAAGGCAACGAUGCGUAGCCGACCUGAGAGGGUGAUCGGCCACACUGGAACUGAGACACGGUCCAGACUCCGACGGGAGGCAGCAGUCGGGACUCUUCCGCAAUGGGCGAAAGCCUGACAGAGCAAAGCCGGGGGAGUGAUGAAGGUCUUCGGAUCGGAAAACUAUGUUAUUAGGGAAGAACAAAUGUGUAAGUAACCAUGCUCGUCUUGACGGUACCUGAUCAGAAAGCCACGGCUAACUACGUG
rnacentral:rRNA from 1 species